UACGAAGGUCCCAAGCGUUAUCCGGAUUUAUUGGGUUUAAAGGGUGCGUAGGCGGAUUAUUAAGUCAGUGGUGAAAGCCCCAGGCCUAACCUGGGAAUUGCCAUUGAUACUGAUGAUCUUGAGUACAUUUGAGGAGGGCGGAAUGUGUCAUGUAGCGGUGAAAUGCUUAGAUAUGACACAGAACACCGAUUGCGUAGGCAGCUCUCUAAACUGUAACUGACGCUGAGGCGCGAAAGCUAGGGGAGCAAACGGG
rnacentral:rRNA from 1 species